UCUAAUACUCUCUCUCCUAUCGUUUCAUGACCCUCCUCCUUCCCUUGAAAUCCUUCCCAGUUCCCACCUCCCUACAAAUUACCUAGAAAACUAAACUAAAAAACUAUGGGUAAUUAUGCAUCUUGUGCAUUGACAACAAUCGACAAAUAAAAUCAGCGAAAGUAAUCAUUCCAUCAAGAGAAGUAAAGCAAUUUGAGCAACCCAUGAAAGCCGAUAAAAGUACGAUUUUUUUCGCGACUCCUCCGAUCCACGAAUCAAUGAUAACAAGAAACUAGUAAUGAUUAAUUUCCUCUCCUUCCCUCCCUCUUGUUUAGAUCCGGACAUGCUUGAAGUUGGUAAUGGAGGGAUGACUGAAGAGGAGUAUCGUUCUCACUUCAGCAUAUGGGCAUUACUAAAAGUACUAUUCUAACUUCAUAUUUUUUUCUGACUUCUGUAAUGGAACUCAAUUAGUGUAUGUUUCUGGAUGAUUACUUCCUAGGCCUGUAAUGUAGACUCAAUUAGUGUAUAUACACCAAAAGAUUAACAGUAGAUGAUGGUGAACAAACACUUACUUUCAAGGAUAACUCUUUACAUUAGAAUUUUUCGUGUUAAAAACUUUCCCAAAUGCAAAGUUUGUAGAGUCAAUGGAGGCACAAAAACUAGCGUACGAAAAAAAAAGAACAACAACAGAUGGCACACCAAGUAGUAGAAAAUAAACAGGUGCAGCAAGACCACAUCAACAAUUCAACAUCAGCAGCACCACCACCACAUCAACAUCAGCCGCACCACCACCACAUCAACAUCAGCAACAACCCACCACAUCAACAUCAACAACACCACCUCCACAUCAACAUCAGCAACACCACCACCACCACCACCAGCUAGAACCAAAAUAGUAACCAUCACAGCAACAGAACGCCCUAGGAAAAUAAAGACAUUAGUACGAUAGAAGAAAAACUUAAUUUAAACACGUUAAAUAGAAAAAUGGUACCUUAGUUAAGUAGAUAUCUUUGCAGGGCAAUUAUGGCUAUCAUGGUAUGCCAAAUGACCAUAACUUUUACACUGUCUCUGUUUCUUUUCUUGUUGUUCCAUUGCCUUCUCUUUUCCCC